UUUAUUUAUUUAUUCUUUGCUCUAUUAAAAUCUUCAAUGUGAGCGAGCUAAAGUCACAACUUGCAUGCUUAACAUAGUUGAUGAUUUGAAAAAGCUUAUGCAUGGAGUGUGGAGCUUGCAUAUGCGGGCUUGCAGAUCUACUUGCUCUCCUUCUUGGUAUGAACUCCUCUCUAUCUCUCUGACCGUUGCAUGGAGUGAGGAACAGCCUGGUGCUAUUUCUUUUGGAAAAAUGAAGGUUAUUUACAUAGCGGUAUGGAACCUUUUACAUUGUUUACUAGAAACUAUGUGUAACGGCAGUUGAGUUUAUGUAACUUGCAAGAUCUUGAGAGAUCUUCAGUCUAAGCAAUUGAAGAUCAGUAACUACUUUAGCUUUGUGGAUUUGGAGAACACACCAAUUACAUCGACUAGGUAGUAACUACUUUAUCUCUGGAUUUUAUUCGAUUCCCUUUAGUUAGUUUGUUUUUCCAAUACAGCGAUGAUGGCACUAUUAAAUGGGUGAGAAGAUUACCAAUGGCUUUAGAUAAUUUGAUUUCUCAAAAUAAUGAGGAUGCCACUGUUAUCUAAGUGAGUAGAGUACCAUGGCUUUUUAGAUGCAUAUGAUGCUGGCUCUGUUUAGCACAAACAAUCAAAUACAACAUGUACUGAACUUUCUUGGGUUUUUGUGCCUACAUUUGUUGUCUCUGAAGCAUAAAAUGUGACUUUGUCUGAUUUACUCUUAAUUUCAUUUUACGCUGAUUUUCUAAUUAGUGCAGCACUAUCAUGUUUUUUUUAGUUUGUAGAAUCUACCUAACUGCAACGCCAAUCAACGGUAGUAACGAGUUGUCGGUAUAGCUGUUUGCGAUAGGUCAGAAAAUAUGGGUCAUGCUUGUGUGGUGCACAUACUUGGAUUGGAAAACAACUGAAUUAACUAAAAUUGUGUUAGGAUCAUGGUACUAGAUGCUGAUGUUCACUUUCCUCGUGACACAGGAAUAGGAGGGCACUAUCGGUAAAUGCUGUAUCGUCUCCUCGAUGUACUAAUUUUGCAAAUAUCUUCAAAAAGUGGAUGAAUGCAGAGGUUGUCGUAUGGAUAUGAUCUAAAUCUUUAAAUCCAUGUAUGCAUGAUGGUUUACUUAUUUCCAUUUUUACAUUCCUUUAAUUAGGUUACAAGGAUAUUAAAUGGUUUAUGUUGAAAUUAUUGCGAUUCGUUGUCUUCGUCAAGAAAAAAGGAUGGAGUUCUAUGGUAAAUUUCUUAUGGUAUAGGUACAUCUCGAUCAGUACCUAAAUAUUUAGUUUAUUCCAGUUGCUUCAAUGGCAUUUUCAUGCAUCUUCUUUCCCGGGGAUUCUUAUCCUUCCGAAUUUUGUGAAAUUUUACUUUUGUUUUGGUGUGGUAUAUGUAGGAUCUAAGAACAUUCAAUUCAUUUCCUUGAUAAGCAGUUGAUGUAUGUCUCCACAAUCCUUUCAUUUUCCUUCGCUCUAUGCUACCGGAUCAUUCUCCUCCAGUUGAGAACACUGACUUCAUUUCAUUUCCUUGAUAUGCAGAUGUGAUUGGCAGGAUCUUUGCGAUUUCCGAUAUUGUUGUUGCUGCUGAUGGACAUGGGAAGGGAAGAAGAAAAUGGCGAGGGAGGUGGAAGAGGAGACAACGGCUGAACACAGAUCUGCAAUAAUCAGGUUGCGCUUGCAUCUAAAGGGGCGGAGACAAUGGAUGGAACACAAUAUGGAUGCACCACAACGCCAUGAGCCCGACGGCUGAUGAACGAGAGAGGAGGUGGCAUUUGGAGGAUGAGAAGGCAGAGGAGGUGGCAUAUGGAUGGCGAGCAGACGGUGGAGGUGGCACUCCCGCUACCAGCAGCCGGCUUACCCCGCUACAGAAGGUGUAUUCCUUUGAUUUAUCUUCAUGUGAUUUUUUUCGAUGCUCUCUGCCACUUCUCCCCUCGCCACCAGAAGAUGCCAUGAACUAGCGCAGAGCGUAUUCGCAUUGAUUAGUUUGUUAACAUUUCCUUGUUUUUAUGUUAUUUAUUCCACUCUCUUUCUGUUCUGAUUGUCUCAAUUGUUUGAAUAUCGGGUCAGCGACAUUUGUUUUGUUGAAAUUCCUCCUUCAUACCAGUAAUAAUCAUAGAUCUUCCUUUAGAGAGCUUCAUAUGUCUGACGCCCAUGAUCACAUAAUUAGGUACGUUGACUACUUUAUCAAGGUAGUAUACCAUGCUAGGCUGGAACUCACAAACAUAUGGUUACUGCACGACUAUUUUAUCUCUGAGUACAUAUUGGUUUUAAAGCAUUCAUAAGAAUGUUGUGGCUCUUCAAUUUUCUCCAUGGUUUAUUUUUACUAAUAUUAAGAGCUAGCUAUUAUAAUUACUGUUGCACUACAUAGUAUUUUGUUUAUCCUGAUCUGAUCAUACGUUGCACUUCUGAUUGAGUCUACCUUACAUUCUGUGUAUUGAGAUUUGAUACCUCAACAUGAUCACCUUCUUCACAUGUACCUGCAGGAUGCACAGAUUGCCAUCGACUCACUUGGCAUAUGGUAGUGAUCUUGAUUCUGACCUAACUGAAAAUAGUUUGCCACCAUUUUCAGAAUGCUAAUGGCAGCUGCAAUCGACACCGUGUUGUUCUAAACAUAAGACCUGGAAGUAAAUACCUGCAACACGUCUAUGAGUGGUACCUCUGCAGGUCGACCGGUGGCAGGGCUGCCUUCAGAGACGAGACGGCUAACGAGCGAGAGAUGUCACUGAAACCAAUGUUAGUGUGAGACAAGGGGAUGGCUUUUUGCUUACAUGGCUAGCUGACGUGGGAACUUGCUGACUGAUCAGAUGGAUAAGGAUUAUAUAAAUGUAAACCGGUCCGAGAGUCAUGCUGUCAGGCCUAAAACUGGGGAAUAGGGAUCUGAGCAAUCAGAAAUGGACAGACAUGUAUGCCACAAUGCAGGGCAGUGCUGGUCAUACAGGGAGUCCUAGACAAUAAAUCAAAGAGGACGUUGAUGCUGGAUAUAAGCGAGUCACUAUUGUUUAUGACAAGUCACCAGAUGUAUAUCUAUAAUAUCACCACUCUGUAAUAAAGUCUGGGAUGUUUUUCCAUUUGCUGCAAAUUGAUAUUGUGACAUCACAUUGUCAAAUGGUUAAUAUUCAAGAAGAGUUAUUUUUCA